AAGUCGUAACAAGGUUUCCGUAGGUACGUUUAAAUCGCAUUUCUUACCUCGUCUACCCUUUUUGUGAUAAUUAACUAACAUUUUUUAUAGGUGAACCUGCGGAAGGAUCAUUAAUGGGUUACCGGACUUCGGUCCGACCUCCAACCCUGUGUUAAACUACCAUGUUGCUUUGGCGGGCCCGCCCUCAGGGGCCGCCGGGGGCUUUCGAGCCUCUGGCCCGUGUCCGCCAGUGGCCAAUUUAAAUUCUUUUUAACCGUGUCGUCUGAGUUAUACGUUAAAUUAUAUAAAACUUUCAACAACGGAUCUCUUGGUUCUG
rnacentral:misc_RNA from 1 species